rnacentral:lncRNA from 1 species
UCGGGCGAGGGUUCAUGCCGCCGAGCAGAGCCAUCAUCCCUGACGUGCGAAAUCCACCACUACAGAGGUAAUCAUAGCAACCCUGUCUCAUUGCUUCUUUUGCUUUGUCCGUUGAUGCAAUUAGCACUUGAGAAAAUGCAUUUCCUAAUGUAUUAACUUAUCAGAGUAUAUGAGUAUAUGUGAAGUACCGUGAAGAAGAAGAAACAAGGAAGCAGAUAGUUAACAGAAUAUACUUAUUCUGUUACAUGAUAAACAGAGUAUUAACACUGUUAAUGACUCACUUGUAUAGAUAAGUAUCUAUCUUAGUAUAUAAGCCAAAGGUACAGCUACACAAAUCUUUAAUGAGAAUUCUAGAAUGUUUUAAAAUUCUAUUAUGGUAUCAGAGACUUAAAUCCUCUCAUUCAAAAGAGUUUGUUACAUUUUCUGGGAAACUUGUGAUUUUUCGAGAAAAUUUCUUGAAGAUUUCACUUCAGCUUGUCGUGUUCAUCUUUCCUUCUGCCGAUCAUCGUGACAAUGGCGAGGAAAGGAACCAAGCAGCUCAGAAAUCGAUCAACAUCGAAUGAUUCAGGUGAAGAUUCACCGAUUGUUCAAAAUUCCGCAUCCGUUCUCAACAGAGUUCCUCCAGCUCAAAUCUCCAUGAAUCGUUUACCGGUGGACUCAGAUUCAAUCGAUAGUCAUCACAAUUCGUUCUAUCUUCACUCCAGUGAUCAUCCUGGUAUGUCGAUCGUUUCUGAAACUCUUACUGGCGAUAACUAUAACUCAUGGAUCAUCACUAUGCGUACUAGUCUAGAAGCAAAGAACAAGAUCAGUUUUGUAGAUGGAUCUCUUCCUCGACCUCUUGAAUCUGAUCAUCUGUUUAAGAUCUGGACCAGAUGUAAUAGUAUGGUGAAAGCUUGGAUACUCAAUGUUGUUUCAAAACAAAUCUAUGCUAGUAUCUUGUAUAUUCAGGAUGCUGCAUGAAUCUGGGAUGAUCUUUACAAGAGAUUUCACAAGAGCAAUCUUCCACAGAUCUACAUUUUGGAGCAAGAGAUUAGUACUCUUCGUCAAGGUACAAUGUCUCUCUCUGAAUAUUACACUAAGAAGGUUACUCUAUGGGAACGACUGGCUUGUACUAAGAAUCUAAAGGAGAAUGGUGGUUGUCGAUGCUCACAAGUUCUGAAGUUGUUGGAUGAUCAUGAGACAACAAGGAUAACUCAGUUUCUGAUGGGACUUAAUGAUGAUUUUGCUAAUAUCAGAGGUCAAAUUCUGAAUAUGAAACCACGUCCUAGUCUCUCUGACAUGUACAACAUGCUUGAAUCUGAUGAGUCUCAAAGACAGCGUACUCUCUCUAAUCCCAAUCCUUCAGCAUUUCAGAUCAAGACUCAGCUGAACACAUAUCAGAAAUCUCGUGCUACUUGCACACAUUGUGGAUUAUCUGGUCAUGUGAGUGAAAAGUGUUACAAAAUCAUUGGUUAUCCACCAGGUUGGAAGCCAAAGAAUCAAAGACAAAACUCCAACCAACAUUUCAUCACACCUUCUGCAAAUCUUGCCCUUACUGAUGGUGUAACCGAAAUUGACAGAGAAAAGACUUUAGAGCAUGAUUAACAAUGAGUCCAAAAAUAGAGAUCCAAACAAGUUUUAUAAUUUAUAUAAUGGAAAAUCUACAAUUUAGACACUUGAAAGAGAUUUAUUGUUAAAAUUGUUCAAUGAUGGGAUCCAAAUAUAGAAGGUCUAAAAGUUUAAAUUUUUGAAAAAAUAUGUCAAAUUGUUUGUGUAUACAAAAGCUUCUACCAAUAAGAAACUGACACGUAUGCGAGUCUAAAACAUUUCUAAAUAUCUAUCUUUGGACUCGGGUCUAUUGUUUUAUGGCAUUUUAUAAUUAAAUUUUUGGACACAAAAACUUUGGAUCUCUACUUAGAUAUCCCGUUAAUCAUGCUCUUAUCUCCUGAGCAGCUUCAGUAUUUGGUUUCUUAUUUGAAUGAAAAGUUGCAGCCGUCUACAUCUACUCCUGCUAGUUCAUCUGCAACGAUUACAGAGAUAUCAUAUAACUCUACUGCUUAUACUUCAGAGUUUACUCCUACUACAUGUCAGAUCACUGGUACUCAAUUUCCCUCUAUUUUCUAUUCACAAACAGAAGAAACUCAAUCAUAUUUUUACACUUUAUCAGAUAAGUUAGUGAAUAUGAAUACAUGGGUGAUUGAUACUGGUGCUACUCAUCAUGUUACUUAUGAUAAAAGUCUAUUUCAAGAAAUGACUGUUAUAGAGGAUACCACAGUGCAGCUUGCUAAUGGUGUUGGUGUGAGAAUACAAGGUUUGGGAUCUAUAAGACUUAAUGACAGACUCAUUCUACAUGAUGUUCUGUUCAUACCUCAGUUUAAGUUUCAUUUGCUAAGUGUGAGCUCCUUGACUUCUCAGAUUAAGUGUGGAUUAUGGUUUGAUUCUUAUGGUUGUGCUAUUCAGGAUCUUACAAGGGCAUUGACAAUUGGCAGAGGUAAACUCCACAAUAAGCUCUAUUUCUUGGACCUGCAGUUUCAACCAAAGAAAGAAGCUUCACCAACAGUCUGUCUUACAGUCAAGAUUGAUGCUCACACAUGGCAUCAACGCUUGGGUCAUCCAUCUUUACAAAGGCUUAAAUCUAUGUCAAACUCUUUGUCUAUUUCUUUUCCUAAGGAGAAUACUCCUGAACAGAAUCAUUGCAGAAUUUGUCACCUUGCUAAACAAAAGCAUUUGCCUUUUGUGCAUCGGAAUAAUAAGACUUCUAAUGCAUUUGAUUUGAUUCAUAUUUAUACUUGGGGUCCCUUUGCAGUUGCUUCUUAUGAUGGAUAUAAAUAUUUCCUAACAAUUGUAGAUGAUAAUUCUCGUGCAACUUGGGUUUAUCUUCUCCGAAAUAAAUCAGAAGCCAUUACUGUUUUGCCUGGAUUUUUCUCAAUGGUUGAAACUCAAUUUGGUGUCAAAGUAAAGGCUGUGAGAUCAGAUAAUGCUCCUGAGUUUAACUUCACCAAGUUUUACAGAGAAAAAGGUAUCAUAUCCUAUCAUUCAUGCCCAGAGACUCCUCAACAGAACUCAGUGGUUGAAAGAAAACACCAACAUCUCCUCAAUGUUGCUAGGGCCUUAAUGUUUCAAUCCCAGGUUCCAGUUGAAUAUUGGAGUGAAUGUAUUAUGACUACAGUGUUUCUCAUCAAUAGACUUCCUACAGAGAACUUGUUCAACAAAUCUCCUUUUGAAAUAUUGAUGAAGAAAGCUCUAGAGUAUGAUGAUCUUAAAAGUUUUGGUUGUUUGGCUUAUUCUUCUACAUCACCACAUCAGAGAAAUAAGUUUGCUCCUCGGGCUAGAGCAUGCAUCUUCUUGGGGUAUCCUACUGGUGUCAAAGGCUACAAACUUCUUGAUAUUGAAACACAUGAUAUCUUGGUGUCAAGACACGUUGUUUUUCAUGAAGAAAUAUUCCCUCUUGCAGUUGGAGACAUGAACCAGCAAAUUCAGGAUUUGUUUCCUCUUGUGUCUGAGAUAGCUGGUGAUUUAGCAGUGGAUAAAGGAUCUGCUAUCCCAGUUCAGCCACAAAAGGAUUCUGUGCAUAUUGGUAGUGCUAUUUCUGUAGUAGAAGAUUCUGCGUCUAUCACAUUAAUACCUAUGCCAAAUCCGGAGAAUGCAGUAAAUGUGGAAGAUUCACUUACUGUCAAAGCUAGAGUCUCUAACAACACAGUUUCUGGUGCAACUUCAAGGACUGUGGAAGUUCCUGUUGCACAUUCUAGAACUGUGGAUACUCUUAACAUUGUUACUACCAAGUCAAGAGAAAUAAAAAGACCUGCUCAUUUGCAGGAUUAUCACUGUUACCUUGCUAGUAAGGACAAUCCCUAUCCUUAUGCAAGUAUUUGUCAUAUGACAAGCUAUCUGGUCCUUACCAUUUCUUUCUCAUUGUCAUUACCAAGGAAUUUGAGCCUACUACUUACAAUGACGCCAAAAGCAUCUUGUUUGGACAAAUGCAAUGGGAGAAGAGAUAACUGCUUUGCAAGAUACUAAUACUUGGACUAUUUGCAAGAGGAAAGCACAUUAUUGGGUGUAAGUGGGUUUAUAAGGUGAAAUAUCAUUCUGAUGGUACUCUAGAAAGACACAAGGCCAGAUUGGUGGCAAAGGAUUACACACAAAAGUCAGGAUUGGACUCUAUGUUGAUACUUAUUCUCCAGUUGCUAAGUUGACAUCAGUGAAAAUGCGUCUUGCAAUUGGAUAUUUCGAAUGCGUUUCUGAAUGGUGAUUUGAAGGAAGAAAUUUACAUGCAACUUCCACCAGGCUAUUCAUCUCGACAGGGGGACUUAUUACCUGAUAAUGCAGUCUGUCGCUUGAACAAGUCACUAUAUGGAUUGAAGCAGGCGUCCAGACAGUGGUAUCUUAAGUUUGCUGAAACUCUACAAAAACUUGGCUUUCAAACGAAUCAUUCUGAUCAUACUUUGUUUACAAAGUUCAGUGAUUCUGUUUUAAUCAUUGUCUUGGUUUAUGUGGAUGACAUAAUUGUUUCUAGCAACAGUGAAGAAGCUGCAGCUAAUCUCAAGUCUCAGUUAAAGUCUCAUUUUAAGCUGAGGGAUCUAGGACCUGCUCAAUACUUUCUUGGACUUGAAAUCGCGAGAUCUGCAGAAGUUAUCUCUUUGUGUCAAAGAAAAUAUGUUAUUGAACUUCUUGAUUCAGCUGGUGUGUUGGGAUGCAAACCUUCUUCAAUUCCUAUGGAACCAAAUCAGAAACUAUCUCAAGAUGAUGGAGAGCUCUAUGAUAAUCCUGAGAGUUACAGAAGCAUUAUUGGGAAACUCAUCUACUUGACUAUAACACGACCAGAUAUAUGCUUUGCGGUUGGUAAAUUGGCUCAAUAUACUGGUGCUCUUAGAGUGUCUCAUCAUCGUGCAGUACUCAAGCUCCUUGCUUAUAUUAAAGGGACUGUAGGGCAAGGAUUGUUCUACUCUUCUAAUCCUAAUAUGGACUUGAAAGCUUUUGCAGAUGCUGAUCUUAGCGCUUGUCCAGACUCAAGACGUUCUGUUUCAGCUUAUUGCAUAUUUCUUGGGGAUUCUCUCAUUUCAUGGAAAUCAAGGAAGCAGGAUGUUGUUUCUAGAUCAUCUGCAGAAUCAGAGUAUAGAGCUAUGGCAUUGGCAGUGUGUGAUAUUUUUUGGGUUCGGAGUUUGAUGGAAGACUUGCAUUUGCCUCCUUCUUCUCCAACAGUUCUUUAUUGUGAUAAUGAAGCAGCGAUACAUAUUGCGAAUAACCCAGUAUUUCAUGAAAGAACGAAACACGUAGAGCGUGAUUGUCAUACGGUACGAGACAGAGUUACUGAUGGAACCAUUAUUUUGGCUCAUGUCAGGACAGAGUGUCAGAUUGCAGAUCUUUUGACCAAGGCUUUGUAUCCUGGACAGUUCCGUGCUCUAGUGGGUAAGCUUGGCAUUUCAAACAUCUUCAUGCCAGCUUAAGGGGGACUAUCAGAGUAUAUGAGUAUAUGUGAAGUACCGUGAAGAAGAAGAAACAAGGAAGCAGAUAGUUAACAGAAUAUACUUAUUCUGUUACAUGAUAAACAGAGUAUUAACACUGUUAAUGACUCACUUGUAUAGAUAAGUAUCUAGCUUAGUAUAUAAGCCAAAGGUACAGCUACACAAAUCUUUAAUGAGAAUUCUAGAAUGUUUUACAAUUCUAUUAUAACUGUCGCUGACAUUGGCUUCACCAUACAAAAUCAUGUAUUCUUUUUAGAAUUUUGAGGUUGUAAAUCUAUUUUGAUCAAAUUUUCAUGUUCUAGAUUAGUAUGUGACAUAUGCUCACCUUGCGUAUAUCAUAAAAGGACUUGAUAACUUCUGAGAUUUUUUGCGCAUCACCAAGGUUGCUUAAUGGCUGGAGAAGGCGGCGUAGAAUGAGAAUGUCAGAUAAUAAAACCAUCAUUCCAGAUGCGAUUGCUGGAUGACGCAUGUUGAAUGCAUCUCCCAAUACAAUCACUCCUUUCUUAUCGCUCAACGUAGCUGACAUUUUCUUUGUUGGCAUGACUUUUAUAUGUGCUCCUUCAUCGAUCCCUUUCAAAAAUAUUUCACGGAGUUUUGAAGGUACCUAGAAAAUUAAAAAAUGUUAAAAGAUGUUAGACAUAUCUGCAUGGACUUCUUACAAAUAUUGAAUGUGUGUAUGCGACUUAAUUAUAUAUGCACACCAACAUAGUAAUAUAUCUACAUAUUGAGUUGUUUUUUUUAUUGAACAAAGAAAUAAUCAGUCCAAUGUGUACCUGAGGAGCAAUAGUGUUCUUCACGAAAUUAACCAUUUCACCAUUUGAAAUAGAAGGAACGUUGUUGGGGAAAAGCUCAAAAACACAACGAACGUCGGUGCUGCCGAUUUGAUACAACAUGGUGAAGGAGGGUUUAGACAUUAUCAAUUUUAACUUCUCCGGUUCUUCAAGCUGACAGUUUCUUGAGAUGUAACCAACUUGGUAUGACAGAACCUCCGCCUACAUCACAUUAAAGUACAUUGAUGCUUAUUAAUUAAUUGACUACAUCCAUGUAAGUAACAUCAAUUCUAUGUCAUUAGCAAAAGAUUGAUGACAUUUCCGUUUAAAUGAGCCUAUAUAGUUAAUACUCACAUUGUUGUCGUUAAGCGACCGACGAAGGUUUGAGUAGCAACCGUCGCAUACCACAGUGAGAGGUGCAAAGGCUGUUGUUUCUUCGCCUGCGCUAUUUUUGUAUGUCACUCCUUUGAUCACUCCUUUUUCUUCGAUCAAAGACCUCACCGUUCCUUCUUCGAGCCGAACACUACCAAUUAAUGUUUGGUGUAUUGAUUAGUAUUAUAAACAAAACCAUUACUAUUGUCAAGCUUAGUAAUAUUCUUUUGCACAAAAAAAAAAAAAAAAGUAAUAUUCUUAAAUUUUCAAAAAAUUAUUAGGUGCUAAUUGAAGGGAUUAUUAUUUCAUAUAUAUUCAUUAGUAUAUAGAUAAAUGUAUGGUGUGAGGUUUUCUAUAUCUUUAUUUAGUUUUUAAUAGAUAUAUUGAUGGGGUAGACACAAAUGUUGACUUUCCAAAAUGUUGCAAAUAAUUAUGAAUGUAGAAACACAAUUCCAAAAGACUGAUCAGUUUGAGUUUCAAAAAAAAAUUAUUUCAUAGAAAAAAUUAUAUUUUUUUCAAAACUUAUUAGUUUGCAUCUUGAAAUUAGUGGGCAAUGAAUAGGCUUAAUAUCUUUUGUAUAAUCGAUUUCCUGUCAAUCUGAAUCUAAUAUAGAGUACCAAAUCAUAUUCAUGAUUUCCCAUCUCAAAUAAAUAGCUAACACUGAAUAGUGAGUGGCUCAUGAUUUUUAAAUGUUCUAUAAAUGAAUCCUUUUGCACUCUUUGAUUUAGAAUUCUUGACCUAUAUAUACUCUUGGUAAAAAACUAACAAAUAAAGAUACGUACUUGGGAAGAGAAGAAGCUUUUUGGCGCAGACGUUGGACGAAUCGACCAUUGUGAAAAGAUCGAGCAGAAGGAUCAUAAGGAAAUUUGUUGUUGUCCACCGGAAAAGAUGCGACUGCUUCUUUUCCGUCCUUAUAAACUGCCAUGCCCGUGGCUUUUUGGGCAUCUAUUCCUUCCAAAAAAUCUAUGCAUAUAUAUAAAUGCACAAAUUUGAUCAUGAAACUAAGUAUGACUUUCUGAUUCAAUUACAUAUAAUGAAAGUGAGAUAGAGACAGACCUUGAAGGUCAAGCUUAGAGAGCAUGAAUCGUCCUCCUGGUUGCAUAAACUCACCCAUCAUUCUCUCUGGUUCUCUCAUGUCCCUCUCUAUUAUAUGCACUCGACGCCCGUCCUAUAUAUAAUCGAAAAUUAGCAUAUAUAGGAUUAUUCGUUCCAACCCAAAAAUAUUGCAAUAGAAGUAUAUAUAUAUAUUAUGCAAAGGAAGCAACAACAAUAGUGUAUAUAGUUGUUUACCUUAUCAAUGAUGCACAAAUAUUAUACAAAAUCAACAAGAAUCAAUGUAAGACUAAGACGCAAAUCUGUGACGCCACUUUACAUACCUUAGCAAGAGCAUAUGCGAGAGCCGAGCCGCCAACUCCAGCCCCAACGAUGAUAACGUCAGCAGCAGCACCAUCUUUUCGCUCUUCCACCACCGCAUCCGCCGACUUCGUUGCCUUCUUCCCCCUGUUUGUGUCGUAGAACAGCGUCCAAGUUAGCACGAAGGCGAGUAGCGUGCAUACACAAACGUGUGUAAAAGCCAUAUCCAUAUCUAUCAGUUCUCAAUGUGGUUUAUGAGAGAAUUGAGAAUGAGAAGUAACAUAUAUAUAGUGCAAAGAUAUCUCAGUUUGGACGUGGUAUCACCACAUGCUAAAUUAUAAUAAUUUAAAAAGCAAUAAAUUGAUCUUUUCUGUUGUCCACAUAUUUCGUUUAUCAUUUAUGAGCUGUAAGAUGACAAAAAAACGAACGAUAUUUUUAUACUCCAAGAUACAAAUAGAAAAUAUUGUCCAUCCUAGUUAAUGAAUAUGUUUCUAUUUAGAACAAGCGAAUAAAAGGUACCACUUAAAUUAUUGACAUUUUUUGUGACGCUUAAAUAAUGAAAUAAUCUAGUCAAGACGUUAGCUAAUUAGUCGGCCAUGAUUUUGACAAUGGAGUACCGUAUUCAAUUGGUUUCUUAGGUAACUACUAAUGAAUGGUUAUCUCUUUAUCAGCAGUUUGCAUGUUUAACAAUAAAAAUCCAUAAAAAUUUUGAUGUGGGAAAAAUAAAUGUAAAGAACAAAGAAAUGCAACAUAUUUUAGUAGCAAAUUUUUUCAAUUGAAUAUAUAGUAUUUUAAAUUUGUACAUGCAGUAACUUUGUUCAAAAUUUAAUUUUCAAAUAAUAUAAUAAUAUAAUCAAAACUAUAUCAUAAAUUAGUUGUGAAAUUGGAUAGAACAAAUUUAUGUCGUUAAAUUGGUAUAUAUAAUUUUUUUUUUUAUGGUAAAGGUUUUAAAUUUGUAAUCAUAGGGUUUAUUUCGAGUAGUAUCACGUGGCGACCAAAGGCUGGCAUAGGAAAAAUAUAAAAUAAAGAGGAUGUGAAUAGAGUUUUUUUUGAUAAAGAUCUAGAGAUGUGAAUAGAGUUUACUCAUAGGGUACCGUUGAGGUCGCGAUCGGGCUCAUGAUACCAAACGCCAAGUUUUGCAUUGUUUUUGUGGUUGACAUACAUGUAACUACUUUCAAAUGACGACAUUUACUUUUACCUAUAUAUUUUUUAUCUUUUGAUACAUAGUUUUGCAGUCUAAAAAAAAAGAAAAAAAAUAGUAAAGAAACAAAUCAUGUGGGCUUAUGGCUCAUAUAGAUUUCCUUCCUUAUUUUUUUAUUUACUUUUCAGAAACUAAAAGCUUAAAUUAUCAACAUGUAAAUCCAAAUCUUCUUCAUUUUAUAUGAUAUUUACUCACUUAUAGAAAAAAAAAUAAUACGAAAAAGAAAAAAAAGAAAGAAAAAAACAUUACCGUCUGUAUUUACCUUUUUCAGAAUGAACCAAAAAAAACAUUUUGAUUAAACUAAACAAAUUGAUUUCAAGUAAAAUAAUAAUUUGUUACUAUAUAUAUAUAUAAAAUCAAACACAAAUGUAUAUCAACAAUCAAAUAUGUAGUUGAUUUCGAAUACAAUAGAGUCUAGUUGAUCUAAAACCAUCUCCAAUAAAUUCUUCUAUUUUUUCUAAAGUAAAGUAGAAUAUUUUCUAAUGUGUCACUCUAUUUUUUAGGGAUAAGUUGGAAUUUAGUACGUUUAUCAAACUUAAUUAUAAAAAUAGUACAAGUACUAUUUACAAUUGGAACAAACACCCAACUUGGACUGCAGCGCCUUUAAACUUCUUUUUCUCUCUCUCCAUCGUUACAAAAACCAGAGAAGAAGAAACAAAAUCAAUAAUCUCAAAUCUUCGAAAUCGAAAUCGGAAUCUAUAAACGAUGUCUUGCUCCGUCGCCGUUUGUAAUUCUCCGGUGUUUUCACCGUCGUCGUCUCUAUUCUGCAACAAAGCUUCGAUUCUCUCUUCGCCGCAAGAAUCUCCUGGAGGUGUUUGAAGAGGAAACGACCUACAAGGCUUGAUAUACCGAUUGGUGUUGCUGGAUUUGUAGGUCCGAUUUCGUCGUCUACGGCGGCUUUGGCUGAGACGCCGAGGGAGGAGAGUAGAGAGGUCGAGAGAGAUGGUGAUGGUUAUUCUGUUUAUUGUAAGAGAGGAAGAAGAGAAGCUAUGGAGGAUCGUUUCUCUACUAUCACCAAUCUUCAUGGAGAUCGUAAACAUGUACUUUCCAUUUUCAUUUUCCUUUUGGUUGAGAAUUGAAUCGAAUUGGUGAUUUUGAUUCGAUUGAUUAACAAUAACAGCUUAAAUUAGGGUUUAUUCAUGCAAGAUCUACGUUGAUUCGAUUAAUUAGUAGUAUAAUCUAGAAUGAGGGUUCUUGAUGAUGUUGUUUGGGGGAAAUUGUAUUUAUUGAUGAAUUGUGUAUUCUAAACGUGUUAUAAACCACAUGUUGGAUGGACUCCAUAACCGUGGACCUUAUGCAUAUUCUAGAAGGCCCAUGUCCAUGUCCUAGAAGGCCCAUGCCCAUGUUCUUGAAGAUUCUCCUUAUGACGGCCUAUAUUGUACUUAGUGGGCUUUUGGGCUUUAGGGUUUACUAGCCCAAUGGGGAUUUGUCUCCCCUCAUCAUGUAUAUAUAUGUAUCGAAAUCUCAUUCAUUAAUCAAUAGAACAACACAGUUUACAACACGUUAUCAGCACGACUUGCUCUUAACGAAAACCCUAAAACCCUAACCCUAAAAAUCGCGGCACUGUUCAUCACCGACACUGUUCAUCUCGGUACUGUUCAUCGCCGUACUGUUCAUCGCCGACACUGUUCAUCGCCGACACUGUUCAUCGCGGCACUGUUCAUCGCGGUACUGUUCAUCGCGGCACUGUUCAUCGCGGUACUGUUCAUCGUGGUACUGUUUGCGGUUCGUUGCAGCAGCGUGAGUUACCGAGGUCUUUAGCUCCCGGUUCUAGUCCAUACAACCCCAUAAGGUGAAAGGUAACAUCAAAACCCUAAAGCUAAAGAACCAACAAUUGAACUUGAAAGUUAAGCAAAGAGAAACCCUAAAACGAAUGAUGAUUGAUUAAGUGAUUGCUUUGCUUGUAUGAUUUGAUUGCUUGCUUGAUCCGAUUGCUUGUUUGCUCGAUUGUUUGACUCGUUUAGGUUGCUAGAAAAAGUUGAUUAUCGCUUAAGCUAAACUCGCCUAAGUUGCUAGAGAAGUUUUAAUUGUCUAAACCUAAAAUCGCAAAACGAAAAUACAUAAGCUAAUAACCGAAACUUUAAAGGUCUAAAAACCUAAAACCUAAAACGAAUCUAAUCCAAAAAAUUCCAUAAGUUUAAAUCGGCUUGAUUGAGAUUGUUUAGGUUGUUAGAUUGUUUGCUCCUUUGAUUGAUUACAUGCUUAACACCCUAAAACUAAAAUUGCAUGAACCCUAGAAAACUUAGAAAAGAUAAUCCUAAAAGAAAUCUCAAAACCCUAAAACCUAAAAUCCUAAAUAAAAUAGGAAACCCUAAAAUCUAGGAAACCUUAAAAUCCUAAAUAAAAUAGGAAACCCUAGAUAAUAGGAAAUCUUAAAAACCCUAAAUCCUAAGUAAAAAUAGGAAACCUUAAAACCCUAAAUCUUAGGGAUAAUAGGAAAUCUUAACAACCCUAAAUCCUAAAUAGGGAAUCUUAAAAUCCUCAAUAAAAUAGGAAACUUUAAAAUCCUAAUAGAAAGCAUGAAAACCUAAAUAAAAUCCUAAAUCCUAUUGUACUCUAAAUCCUAAUUAAAUUAGGAAAUUCAUAAAUCCUAUUCAAGAUAGGAAAACUUUAAGAAAUAGAAAAUUUCCAAAUCCUAAUUAAAAUAGGAAAUCUUAAAAUCUAAAAUCAGAAGUGAAAUAGGAAAAUUAAUCCUAAAGUAAAGAGGAAAGUAAAUCCUAAAAGGAAAAGGAAAAGUUAAUCCUAAUCAAAAGAGGAAAUCUAAUCAUAAGCAAAAGAGGAAAGUCAAAUCCCUAAGUAAAUCGAUUCAUGGUUCGGUCUCAAAUACCGCAUGACACUAACGAUUACAUGAUUUUGACUCAAAACGUUUCUUUGUAGAUGUUGAAUUACAACUUGUACUUUACUGCCCUAAAUCUCUUAGGAGAUAAUUAUUUUAAAAUGGGCAAUAGAUACUAAGAUUAUCCUAAAGUCAAAAGGACUUGGUGAAUGUAUCUAAUAAGGCAAGAAUGCCAAGAGAGAAAGAUAGAUACAAGGCAAUAUUAGCCACCAUCUUAUUGAAAGUCUCAUAAUCCAGGACUAUAAGUCCGUGGAUGAGUCUAUUGCUAGAUGAAAAAAAAAAAAUAAAAAAAUAAUGACUUACAGAUAAAAACAGUGAAUUACGACCUCAUAGAUUAACCCCAUUACCUAAUGCCAAUAAGGCCGCAGAGGAUAAGAAAGAAUCCAAAGAAUCUAACCACGUCUAAAGUGAUAGACCACACGGCCGUGACCGUGGUGAAUGGAAAGGACGUGGUUGUGACCACUAUAACUCAUCCGGCCGUGGGAACCACUAUAACCGUGGAUGUAGACCCAAUCCCGGCCGUGGUCGAGGGCGAGGACGAUGUGGUAUUUCCAAACCACAACACUCGACCAAAUGAGUAUGCCAUAGAUGUGGUAUUGAAAGGACGUGGUUGUGGCCACUAUAACUCAUCCGGCCAUGGGAACCACUAUAACCGUGGAUGUAGACCCAAUUCCGGCCGUGGUCGAGGGCGAGGACGAUGUGGUAUUUCCAAACCACAACACUCGACCAAAUGAGUAUACCAUAGAUAUGGAAUGGGAAACCAUUGGGCUAAGAUAUGUAGGACUUCCAAACAUCGUUGUGACCUCUAUCAAGAGAAUGUAAAAGGGAAGAAUCCUAAAGCCCAUUUGGUAUAUAAAGAUGGUGAACAUGAUCAAGAUGAUCUAAUAGAGUAUGAAACUUCUGAUUGCAUAAAAGAAUCAAGUUGAUAAAUCUUACUUCGACAUCAAAACCUCUAUGUUUUUCUUUGCAUUUUAUGUGUUCAUUGAUUGUUAUUUGCUUGAAUUUAUUUUAUAUUAUUUUAUGUUUAGAACAUGAUUCUUGUCCAUAUAAGAAAUGACCGAGGACAAGAACAUAAUUGUGGUGGAUAGUGGAUCGAGCCACACAAUUUUAAAAAGACAAAAGAUAAUACUUUAUAAAUCUAACAUUGAAAAUGCCAAUAUUAGCACCAUAGCGGGAAUAGCUAGUCUUAUUGAGGGCCACGGUCAAGCCCAUAUCCUUUUAUCAAAAGGCACGCAUCUUGAAAUAAGCGAUGCCCUAUAUUCACCCAGCUCGAAGAGGAGCUUGUUAAGUUUCAAAGAUAUAAGAUUAAAUGGUUUCCAUAUUGAAACAAAGGGUGAAGGGAACAAAGAAUUCCUAAAUAUAAUUGAGAUCACCCAAGGACAUAAGAAAGUCCUAGAGACUAUACCCGCAUUAUCCACUGGUCUUUACUAUGCUAAAAUCGAUAUGAUCGAAGCUAAUAUGGCAAUGAACAAAUAGUAAAGAAACAAAUCAUGUGGGCUUAUGGCUCAUAUAGAUUUCCUUCCUUAUUUUUUUAUUUACUUUUCAGAAACUAAAAGCUUAAAUUAUCAACAUGUAAAUCCAAAUCUUCUUCAUUUUAUAUGAUAUUUACUCACUUAUAGAAAAAAAAAUAAUACGAAAAAGAAAAAAAAGAAAGAAAAAAACAUUACCGUCUGUAUUUACCUUUUUCAGAAUGAACCAAAAAAAACAUUUUGAUUAAACUAAACAAAUUGAUUUCAAGUAAAAUAAUAAUUUGUUACUAUAUAUAUAUAUAAAAUCAAACACAAAUGUAUAUCAACAAUCAAAUAUGUAGUUGAUUUCGAAUACAAUAGAGUCUAGUUGAUCUAAAACCAUCUCCAAUAAAUUCUUCUAUUUUUUCUAAAGUAAAGUAGAAUAUUUUCUAAUGUGUCACUCUAUUUUUUAGGGAUAAGUUGGAAUUUAGUACGUUUAUCAAACUUAAUUAUAAAAAUAGUACAAGUACUAUUUACAAUUGGAACAAACACCCAACUUGGACUGCAGCGCCUUUAAACUUCUUUUUCUCUCUCUCCAUCGUUACAAAAACCAGAGAAGAAGAAACAAAAUCAAUAAUCUCAAAUCUUCGAAAUCGAAAUCGGAAUCUAUAAACGAUGUCUUGCUCCGUCGCCGUUUGUAAUUCUCCGGUGUUUUCACCGUCGUCGUCUCUAUUCUGCAACAAAGCUUCGAUUCUCUCUUCGCCGCAAGAAUCUCCUGGAGGUGUUUGAAGAGGAAACGACCUACAAGGCUUGAUAUACCGAUUGGUGUUGCUGGAUUUGUAGGUCCGAUUUCGUCGUCUACGGCGGCUUUGGCUGAGACGCCGAGGGAGGAGAGUAGAGAGGUCGAGAGAGAUGGUGAUGGUUAUUCUGUUUAUUGUAAGAGAGGAAGAAGAGAAGCUAUGGAGGAUCGUUUCUCUACUAUCACCAAUCUUCAUGGAGAUCGUAAACAUGUACUUUCCAUUUUCAUUUUCCUUUUGGUUGAGAAUUGAAUCGAAUUGGUGAUUUUGAUUCGAUUGAUUAACAAUAACAGCUUAAAUUAGGGUUUAUUCAUGCAAGAUCUACGUUGAUUCGAUUAAUUAGUAGUAUAAUCUAGAAUGAGGGUUCUUGAUGAUGUUGUUUGGGGGAAAUUGUAUUUAUUGAUGAAUUGUGUAUUCUAAACGUGUUAUAAACCACAUGUUGGAUGGACUCCAUAACCGUGGACCUUAUGCAUAUUCUAGAAGGCCCAUGUCCAUGUCCUAGAAGGCCCAUGCCCAUGUUCUUGAAGAUUCUCCUUAUGACGGCCUAUAUUGUACUUAGUGGGCUUUUGGGCUUUAGGGUUUACUAGCCCAAUGGGGAUUUGUCUCCCCUCAUCAUGUAUAUAUAUGUAUCGAAAUCUCAUUCAUUAAUCAAUAGAACAACACAGUUUACAACAAAACGUUGUUUUGCUUUUGUGAUAAUUUUUCAGGCGAUAUUUGGAGUCUAUGAUGGUCAUGGAGGAGUUAAAGCGGCUGAGUUUGCGGCUAAGAACUUAGAUAAGAACAUUGUAGAAGAAAUAGUUGGUUUAAGAGACGAGUCUGAGAUAGCUGAAGUGGUGAGACGCGGUUACUUGACAACAAACGCCGCGUUUCUUAAGGAGAAAGAUGUCAAGGGUGGUUCGUGCUGUGUUACGGCUAUGGUUAGCGAAGGGAACCUUGUUGUGUCUAAUACUGGUGUGGUGACUGUCGUGCUGUUUAGCGAAGGGAACCUUGUUACGGCCAUGAUGAUCCAGUGUCUGAAAGAUUAACUCGAAUGAAAGCCUUACCUUGAGAUUUAGCUUAAGAGCCCUUGACAAAAGUUAUAGGAAAUUGAGUUAGCUUUCCAAAGGCGGUGAUUACAGGCCAAUUAGAGCAAUAGUUCAAGAUUUAUGACCGAUUUAGUUUACACAUAUCAAUAUGACGUAGACGCAUCUGAAAUUAGAAAUCUCUAGCUUUAUUUCAGAUUCAGUUCUCUAAUAUUUCUUGGCUAUGUUUGUGUUUACGAUAAAGCUCUUUUUUUUUAGAAGAAUGAUUUGUAAAUUAUGUGAUUGUUGAAUUCAAAAGAAGUUUUGGAGAGGUAGAAUUUUCGGAUUGAGACUGAUAAUGAAGUUGUUGAGAAAGGGUCAGUCUUUUUUUUUGAAAAUUGUUGAAUGUGAUGUUCUUGGUUCUUGUUUUCCCAAAAGGGUCUAACACCCAGUUUGAAAAUUUUGUCUCUUUCUUAUUGGUAAUGUUGCAAUUGAAUGUUAAGAAAUGUUCCACUAAUGGAAUGUGGAUUUGUUGAGUGAUAAUCAGAGCAGUAGUUCAAACAAUUAAUAUUAUCUAAAUAAAUAAAUAAAUAAAUAAAUAAAAGAGGUUCAUGUUUAGGGGGUGAACCCAAAUAUUGUUCUCGUUCAAAAGUAACAUGUUUUGCAUUUCAAUUUCCUUAACCUAAUUAACUACCCCUAUUCUAGAAAAUACAACAACGUUGCACUAUAACUACGAAAAAUAGACACUUCUCUAAAAUUUAUCUCCCAACAUAUUUUAAAUGAAUCUAACCAAAAGAAUUACAUCCCAACCCAAAAGAUUGCCUAUUACACAUUUAAUACAAAACAAAAACAAUACUUGGGGUCAAAGUAAUGUUUUGGAUGAGUAGGAUGGUUGAAAAUUUUCUGAGAUUGUGUAUUCUUCUGUACAGUAGUUUAUAUCUGUACAGUCAUUCUUUUGUACAGUACAAACUGACUAAGUCUUCUGUACAGUCUAAGGUCUUAGUUUAUAUCUAUACAUUCAAAGCGACACUGCAUCAUUCUUUUUUGGUCUUCAUAUGUUCUUGUCCUGUCUUUCAAAUGGGUAACAUUAUCAUAAAUAGCAAUUUGCUUCAAAAUAUAUACUUGUAAAUUAAUUCAUUGCGUUUAUCAAAUAGGAUGGUUUUUAUCUGUAUAGUGGUCUAUAUAUGUACAGUGGUCUAUAUAUGUAUCUGUACAGUGGUAUUCUGUACAGUAGUCUUCUGUACAGUGGUAUAUUUCUGUACAUACAUUCUUCUGUACAGAUGCAUCUUUCUAUACAUACAUUCUUCUGUACAGAUGUAGACCACUGUACAGAUAUACACAACUGUACAGAAGAAAUCUGUACAGCAGAAUAUCUGUAUAGAAGGAUGUAUCUGUACAGUGAUUUAUAUCUGUAUAUAUAUUAUUUGUACAGUGUUCGGUAAUAUAAAUUUUAAAAUUUAUAAAACAAAAUGCAUAUCAAAUGAUAGAGAAAAAACCAUAGAUUUUUAUGUAUAUGAUCAAUUUUAGAAAAAUAAAAUUUACGAAUGAGCAUUUUAGUUAUUAAACUUUGAGGGAAUGAAAUAUAAUAAAAAAAAAGAAAUAAAAAAAAACCCUGACCCACUAAAAAACUUUUAUACGUUUCACGCACUCUAUCUCACACACUCUCUCUCACACUCUCUCUCUCAGUCUCUCUUCUCUCACACUCUCUCUUUCUCAAUUAUAAAUAGUAACCGUACUAGUUCUAUAAUUAAGUUUGGGAAAUGUAUUAGUUUCCCAACUCACCUUAUUUUUUAUUACAAAAGAAAUAGAGUAAAACAAAUAGAAUAAAAAAACAUAAUCUCUAAAUAUAGUGUAAUAAUAUAUUAAUUUACUUUAUUUUAGAGUGAAAUAUUAGAGUAGGAUUAUAGAUAAUUUUACUCUAUAAUAAAGUUUAAAAGAGAAAAUAGAUGGGUUGGAGAUGUCCUAAACUAGGCCACUAACAAACUAGAUGAAUGUUUAACGCCUAUUCGUUAGAUCAAAAGUCUAGUUCUUUGUAAGUAAAGUUACAACGAUAAGUUCAUCAGACUUCUUUAAUCACGUUUCAAAAUAGAAAAAUAACACAAAUAUCACUAAAGGUGGGAAUUAUCUUUAUCCGCAUAACCCCUAAAAAGGUCGACUUCAAAGAUAUUGAAAGGCCAAUAAAUUAUGUCAUUCAUUGUUAAAUGAUGCAUCUUAUUAUGUCAUUCAUCCUUAAAUGAUGCAUCUUAUUAUGUCAUUCAUUGUUAAUUGUUAAAUAAUGCAUCUUAUUAUGUCAUUCAUCUAUUUUUGUUUUUCUAUAAAUAGAAGUAUAGAGACGAGACUUUACUCUUUUGGCUGUUUUCUGUGUAUACGACAACAAAAACCUCACCACAAAACUUCAUCAAUUAUUGGGACAGCUGCAGUUUGAAGUUGUUAUCGACGUCCAUAAAUUUUUCUUGGGUUAUAUAUAUAUAUAUAUAUAUAUAUAUAUAUUAGGAAUAAGAAUUCGACAACUUAAUUUAAAGUUUUAAUGAAAUUCACAAAAGACAAAAAAACAAUCAAAGCCACCAAUUGUACACAAACAGAUUAUAUUCUGAUAAUAUGUUAAUCUGCCAUUAUGGCCAGAAGAACAGUUAUGUAUGAUUUGUUAAUUCAAUAUAAUAUUUGAUUCGACGAAAAAAAAAACGAAAACUUGUUUUAUUAUUAAACUUUUCUUCUUUCCGUAGACUAUUUCCCUGUUGUUAUGUACUAAUAUUAUUUUUUUGGUUUAUGCAUGGUUAAAAUUAAAAAAAAAAAAAUGAAUGAUUGUUUUAUAGAGGAUAUAUAUAUAUUUGGACAAACAGAAAGAGGGUGCAUUUUUAAACAAUUAGAAGGGAUAAAUUCAUCUGAUGUUUUUAACCAGUGGGUUAGAAAGAUAUAACUCAUAUACUAAUAAUUGUAAGAUAAGCAUUACAAUAAAAUUUCAACAAUUUAACAAUCACAAAGAUUGGUAGUCCAUAUAUGAUAUAUAUAUUUUUCGGUUUAGAGCAUCAAUGUUUAAAAAACAGACGCGGCCAUAUAGCUUUUGCGAUAUGCGGCUGCGUUUGCAGGAAACAACAUCUGGCUAACUCCCUCAGCCUUCAGAUGGGGAACCAACAUUUUCGUAGCUAACUGGUGAUUCACAUAAAACAUAUAAUUAAAAAAAUAAUUCAAUGUCAAAUUGUAAUUAGUAAACCAAAAAGAGCGUCAAAGAAAAAGUUUUCUAUCGAAAUAAAAUGACUUACACCAAAAAGCCUGAGGCUAUGCCAAAUGCGAAUGGGGGAAGGAAAUGGAGAUAGAAGAUGGCCAAUGGAAUGUAGUGUGAUUGCGCAGAGAUGAUAGAUGAGAGAGAUCGGACGAGGAUUCAUGCCACCUAGCAGAGCCAUCAUCCCUGACGUGCGAAAUCCGCCACUACAAAGGUAAUCAUAGCAACCCUGUCUCAUUGCUUCUUUUGCUUCGUCGGUUGAUGCAAUUAGCACUUGAGAAAAUGCAGUUCCUAAUGUGUUCACCGUCGCUGACAUUGGCUUCACCAUAAAAAAAAACAAGCUUUCUUAAAUUUUUGAAGUUGUUAAUAGGUUUAAAAUUUUAGAAUGUUCAUCAUAUUUUAGCCUUGGAUGAUUAGGAUGUGAUGAAGGCUUACCUUGCGGAUGCUAUAAAAGGACUUAAUGACUUCUGAGACUUUGUUUGCAUCGCCGAGGUUGCUUAGUGGCUGGAGAAGGCGACGUAGAAUGAGAAUAUCAGACAAUAAAACCAUCAUUCCAGCCGCGACUGAUGGAUGACGCAUGUUGAAUGCAUCUCCCAACACAAUCACUCCUUUUUUAUUGCUUAAAGUAGCUGUCAUGCGCUUUGCUGGAACCGCUUUUAUGUGUGCUCCCUCAUCUAGACCUUUCAAGAAUAUUUUGCGAAGUUUUGGAGGUACCUUCAAAAAAUGUGUAAGUAGGUGUUUAUAUACAUGGAGUUAUGGACUUUUUGCAAAUAUAAGAAUAUAUGACGUACAUGUGACUUAUCUAUGUACCAGUAACACCAACUUAGUUAAAUCAUAUGCUUAGUUCCUUUUUUAAUUAAUCAGCACAUUGCGUACCUGAGGAGCUAGAGUGUUCUUCGCGAAAGUAGCCAUUUCACCUUUUGCAAUUGAAGGAAAAUUGUCGGGGAAAAGCUCAAAACCACAACGAACAUCAGUGCUGCUUAUUUGGUACAACAUGAUGGAGGAGGGUUUAGACAUUAUUAAAUGAAGGUUUUCGGGAUCAUCAAGCCGACAGUUCUUCGAGAUGUAACCAACUUGGUAAGACAGAACUUCCGCCUAUAUCAAGUUAUAAUUCGUUAAUGCUUGUUAAACUAACUUGAAUAAAUCAUAGUAAGUAACAUAAAUUAUUACUCAUUAGUGUUUAUGUUAAAGUUGAAGUUUUUUUUUUUUCCGUUUAAAUGAGACUAUAUAAUUAUAUACUCACAUUGUUGUCGUUUAGAGACCGACGAAGGUUUGAGUAGCAACCGUCGCAUACCACAGUGAGAGGUGCCAAUGCUGUUGUUUCUUCACCUGCUUUAUUUUUGUAUGUCACUCCUUUGAUCACUCCUUUUUCUUCUAUUAACGACUUCACCGUUCCUUCUUCCAGGCGCACACUGCCAAUUUAAGAUUGGUGUAAACAAAAUCAUUGCUAUUGUCAAGUUUAGUAGUAUUUUCCAAUGUUCAAAAUUUUAUUAGGAGUUAAUUGGACCUUUGGAGGGUAUACCACCUAACUAAUUAAUUGGAGCCUAUUUAUUUGUCUUAUUUUAUAAGGAGUUAAAAUAAGUAUACAUAUUAUUAAUUAGUUGUCUAACCCACCUUGACACAAACGUUAGUUAUGUAUAAAUUUUUCCAAAUUAAAAUUAUAACUUAAAGGUUUAUAAUAUAGAAUAAGUUCAUUUUAUCAAAGUUUAUUAGCUUCCUCUAAUUGGCAUUGAAUAAGGUUUAUAUCUUUUGUAAAGUACCGAUUAGUUCACUUCCACAUGAGUAAUUAUUUUGGAUCAAUCUGAUUCUAAUAUUAUAUAAAAGUCUUGACUUUCCGAUCGGUUAUGUUUAUUAUAUGAUCUGUAAAAGGUUGAAUGGUUGCGGCAGUUGGAGUGGAGAAAUCCGUUUACGGAUUGGACCGUAGCAGUGUGGAUCCAGAAAUUUGCAGACUGCUUUUACAUAUAAAUAAAUUUGGUUUACCGCGCGGUUUGUUGUCCAACCAAAAAAUAGAACGGUUUAGUCCGCUAACGGUUUAGACCGCUUCGCCCACACCAACAACUCAAAGCCAAAAUCUCGUAACAUUUUUUGAUGUAAAAUUCUUAGCAAUUAUAAUUUGGUGAACAAAGAGAUACGUACCUAGGAAGAGAAGAAGCCUUUUGGCGCAGACUUUGGACGAAUCGGCCAUUGUGAAAAGAUCGAGCAGAAGGAUCGUAAGGAAAGUUGUUGUUGUCCACCGGAAAAGAUGCGACUGCUUCUUUGCCGUCCUUAUAAACUGCCAUCCCCGUGGCUUUUUGGGCAUCUAUACCAUCCAGACAAUCUAUAUAGAAAAACGCACAAGUUCGAUCAUCCAUCUAAGACAUAUUCAUUUAAUUCUAUAAACGCAAAUGUAAACAAACUCAUGGUCUAGUAACUAAAGAAUUCCUCAAGAAGUUGAAAGACUAUGGUUUAAGUUCUGCGAUUUAAAUCAUAGUUGGACACUAUAGCCACUUUUAAAUAACAAAUAUAUUCGAUUUUUCACAAGUUUCGAAGAUUAGCGUAUAGAAUUUGGUUCUAGAUUCUCCAAUUAAAAAUAAAAUGUAAAUGUAAAAUGAAAGUGAAACAGAGACAGACCUUGAAGGCCAAGCUGAGAAAGCAUGAAUCGUCCUCCUGGCUGCAUAAACUCACCCAUCAUUCUCUCUGGUUCUCUCAUGUCCCUCUCAAUCACAUGUACUCGGCGCCCGUCCUAUAUAUAAUCAGAAAUUAGCAUAAGGUUGUAUUAUGCAAAAACAAAACAUUGGAAUAGAAUUCUAUUAUGCAUGUAUAUAUAGUUCUAAAUUUUUUACCCUAUUCAUGCGCAAAUAGUAGAGUAGGAAAAUCGUUAACUUGAUGCAGAUUUAAUACUUGGACGUAAAACUCUGACGCCACUUUACAUACCUUAGCAAGAGCAUAUGCAAGAGCCGAGCCACCGACACCAGCCCCGACGAUGAUGACGUCAGAAGCACCGUCUCUUCUCUCCUCUGCUGCCGCAUCCGCCAAUUCCGUCGCCUUUUUCUUCCUGUUGGUAACGUAUAACACCGUCCAGGUCAGCGCGAAGGCGAGUACCGUCCAUAAACAAACGUGCGUAAAGGCCAUAUCCCAAAUCUAUUAACUAGUUCUCAAUAUGGUUUUGAUUACUAUUAAAAGGAGUAACAUGCAUAUAUAAUACAAAGUUAAGUCAGUUUGGACGUGGCAUCACCACAUAUGGUAAAUUAUGAUAUUAUUUUUUUAAAAGCAAUAAAUUGAUCUUUUGUGUUCUCCACAUAAAUCGUUAUCACUUCUAGCUGUCUACAUUGACAUAAACAGAUGAUAUUUAUAUUUCACAUACAAACAUAAGAGAUUGACCACCCUAAUUAAUGAUUUUGUCAGUAUAUAGACAAGCGAAUUUAAGGUACCACUUGAAUUAUUGAUAUCUUUGAAAACUAGUGAAUGGCGAUUAAAAUAGUAAGAGAAUUUUGCUAAAUCUGAAUGUAUAAAUCAAUGUUUUUGAUAACAGAGGGUCGGUCCAGAACAUAGACAAAAUAAGUCAUCACUUAGAGAAUCACAUUGUGGAAGAAACAUCCAAAAUUCUAUUAGAAACAUUGGACCGGCCUCAGUCCGAACUGCGGACACAAAUCAACUUUCAUUUUAGCUAAUGCUGGUUUCUUUAACCUUUUAAAGAUGAUGCAUCUAUGCUUGUUGCAUACUUGCAUGUAUUUUAUGCACACGAUGUCACAAACAAACAUUCAUGGAAAUAAAAGUAACAUACUUAUGUAUUAAUGUAUGCAAAACUCUUCCAUGGUCAACAAUCACGAUAUUGUAAAAUAUGUAGAUAUACGUACACUAUUAUUUAUCGGAAGAUCACUUAAAAAUCCACCAACUAUAUUUAUCAUUUCUAUAAAGACACAUGAUUUAUUUUUGGGUUGUAUGAAUAUAUAUAAAAAAAAGCACUUAAAAAAAAACAAAGCACUUAAAAGAACGAACAGAUACUAUACACUUUUUCUUUUGUGAAAAGUUGUAUAUAUAAAUAAAAAUGAUGUGGCUUUACAAAAAUUAUGGGUUAAGUAACAGUUUCCUUGUGGACAGAUGGACAAUUUAAUGCAAUUUAAUCUAAUGCAAUUUAAUGCUUCUAGGUGGGAUUUUUAGCAAGAAAGGCCAUUAAUGCAAUGCUUCAAAUAGAUGCUAAAUAAGAUCGAAAGAUAGGACUGAUUGGCUACGUGGAACAACAUCCACCUCAACACGAAAGCGAGUAGCGUCCAUAACCACAAGAAGUAUGGCAAAGCCAUAUUCAUUACGGUUUUGCUUAUUAAUUGCGUGAUAAUUUAGUCCUUGAUAUGGUUUAUAAGAAAAUUCAGAAAGGUUUAGUGAUAUAUAUAUAGCCAUUUCGACGUAUACCAUUUGGAGAGAAAAAAAUGGAAGAAAGCACGGCAAUGCAUCGAAUCUUCCCAGCCGCCUAAUCAAAUGGAGCGAUAAACAAUUCUCGGCGAUUAAAAUAAAUGGAGACAGGAGAUAUGAUUUAGGAAUCCAAGCAUGGUUUGACUUAAUGGGUUUCUAGGAGGGAAUGUUUAAAUUUUCGAAUUCUUUAACUUCCAAACAAACGUUGCACUUGUUGUAAAAGAGUUAUUUUUUCUUUGAAUCUAAUUUUUUUUUUUGAUAGGAAUGUUAAUAUCAUAUAAAUGAAGUUUUGAAGUUUUACAAAAGAGCUUAACCUAUGGUUGUAACCUUGCCAAAAAAGAAAUAAAAAACAAGAGUUACAAAGCAAAUUGUUGUGUGUCAGACAACAAACUAUCUAAUCCAAAGCGGCAUCAAGUUCCUGAAUUUCUUCUGGUUCCGUCUAGCCGUGAUUGUGUUACGCAGUUCCUUCUCAAUGGUUUUAUAAACUGCAGCAGGUGUGGCAGAAAUCUGGUUAUAAAUCAGAUUAUUUCGCUGCUUCCAGAUGUGGUAGACAGCGGCUUGGCUCGCCAGUUUUCGAAGGAUCGAAGGAGAGGAAUCAGUUCUCAGCCUUGUCCAAGAAAUGAGCGAUGGCCAAGUGUAGAAAAUGCAGACGGGUAAGUGCAAAUGAGACUGAAUUAAGUUCCAAACCUGCUGGCUAAACUAGCAAGUCAGAAAGAGGUGCUCAAGAGUCUCAUCGUAGUUCAAGCAAAGGCAGCAAGUAGGGGUCACAUGCAGGCCCCAAGACACCAUCCUGCUCCGGGUUGGAAGCCUAUUCAACUGAGCCAUCCACAUUGUGAAAGCAUGUCGUGGAGUGGCUCCUUUGAACCAGAUGGAGGACGCCCAACCCUUCAAAGCUGCUCUCGGCCUAAUAGAGUCCCAAGUAAUAGCAGUGGGAAAGUGAUUGUAGCUAAUACCAUGGAUAACCCAACAAUAGCUGUCAUCCCCAUUAGAAGGAUCCGGCGGAUUGACUGUGGAUAACAGAGCAUGGAGGUUGCGAGCUUGCGUUGAUCGAACAGGUGGAAGAUUCCAUCCAAAAUCAUCACAAGCGGCAGAUUAUAUUUAUAAAAAAAAAGAUAUAUAUAGAAAUAAAUAGAUUGAACAUUAUUUUUAUCGCAUUAUAUUUAAUUUUUUAAGUAAACUGUUAUAUAUAUAUAUAUAUAUAUAUAUUCAGGAUAAAUGAAAAAACAAUUAUGUACAUUUUCUCAUAAUUAAAUGGAUGAGUUCUUCAUGUUUUUAAUCGAGAUCAAUUACCAAUUGGUGACAAUAUUAGAGGUUGGGGUACGGUGUUAAUCAAACUUGUGUCUCAUAUGGAGAACUGGAUGAGACUCGAUAAAUGAGUAUCUUUGUGCCUAUAUUCCUACCGUUUGCCUAGACUACAUGCACCUUUUCAACGAUUUCGGCCAACUACCGACUGGACAAACACAUUAGAGAGAUUGACCUCAACAAUCUUAAAUACACAACAUUCUCUUUUCCUUCAGUUGAAGUUCCAGGUCACAGUGACACAGCUCUGGUAAGAGAGAAAUGAUUGGCAUCAGUAGGUUUACCAUUCGAAUUCUCAGCUUACUCUAAUCAUUGACAUGAAAUUAGGAAUCGACUGCAUUUGAUUUCCUAUCAGGUCAUCAUGGAUUACCAUGUAAUUCUCUGUUUAAGUUUCAUUUACAAGUUUAGCCAGAGCCGUGCUACUGUAUAUGAAUACCGGAUGACUAAAAAAUGUCGAAUACGUAUAAAACAAAACUUUUCAAAGUAAUAAACACCAUCGUCUUAAAAAAAAAGGACUGAGCAACAAACAAUUAGCUCCAUAAAUACAUGGGUGAAGCUAAAUAAAAAAGGAGCAUUACUUGUAACAACAAGAUUAAUUCACACAUCUCACAUUCAAAUGUUUAUUUAUUUAUUUAUAUUUAGAAAUUUCCCCUGUUCCAGACUAAUAAUUUUAUAAGAGCUACAAUACAGGUUUCACAAAUGCACAAUCACAAGAAUUCGUGCUCCAUAUAAAUUGCGAUUUAGAGCAUCAAUGUUUAGAGCGCGGUUGCGGCCAUAUAGCUUUUGCGAUACGCGGCUGCAUUUGCUGGAAACAACAUUUGGCUAACUCCUUCAGCUUUGAGAUUGGGAACCAACAUUUUCAAGGCCAACUAGAUAUUAGCAAACAAGAAAAAGGGUUAAGAAAGAAAUAAUUCUAUAGAAAAAUUUUGAUAUAAAGAGAGAUAUAUUGACUUACACCAAAAAGCUUGAGGCUAUGCCAAAUGCGAAGGGGAGAGGGAAAUGGAGAGAGAAGUUGGCCAAUAGAAGAUAUAGUGAUAGCACAUAGAUGAUAGAUAAGAGAGAGCGGACGAGGAUUCAUGCCGCCGAGCAAAGCCAUCAUCCCUGACGUGCGAAACCCACCACUACAAAGGUAAUCAUAGACACCCUGUCUCAUUGCCUCUUUUGCUUCGUCCGUUGAUCCAAUUAGCACUUGAGAAAAUGCAUUUCCUAAUGUAUUAACCGUCGCUGACAUUGGCUUCACCAUAAAAAAUCAUGUAUAGUUAUAAAAAAGAGUUGUAAAUCACUUUUGAUCAAAUUUUUAUGUUUUAGAUUAAAAUGUACAUAUGCUCACCUUGCGAAUACUAUAAAAAGAAUUGAUAACUUCUGAGACUUUGUUAGCAUCGCCGAGGUUGCUUAAUGGCUGGAGAAGACGGUGUAGAAUGAGAAUGUCAGACAGUAAAACCAUCAUUCCAGAUGCGAUUGCUGGAU